AUGCAUGUCUAAGUACAAACUUUUACAUAGUGAAACCGCGAAUGGCUCAUUAAAUCAGUUAUGGUUCCUUAGAUCGUACAAUCCUACUUGGAUAACUGUGGCAAUUCUAGAGCUAAUACAUGCAAAUCAGCUCCGACCUUCGGGGAAGAGCGCUUUUAUUAGAUCAAGACCAAUACGGACUCCGGUCCGUUCCUUUGGUGACUCUGGAUAACUUUGUGCUGAUCGCAUGGCCUUGCGCCGGCGACGUAUCUUUCAAAUGUCUGCCCUAUCAACUGUCGAUGGUACGUGCUAUGCCUACCAUGGUUUUUACGGGUAACGGAGAAUCAGGGUUCGAUUCCGGAGAGGGAGCAUGAGAAACGGCUACCACA
rnacentral:rRNA from 2 species